CCGCCCCCUUGGAGAGAGAGGGAAAAAAGAGGGAGGGGUGCCGACCCUCUCACUCCGACCGCUCUCGCCCUGCAGCAGAUCCUCCAAUGUGAUGCUAUAUACAACUUCCAGUAGAGGUUGAGCAGAGUCAUGCCAGGGGACACAGAAAAUUUCUCUCAGGAAGAAGAGGACCUGGAUGACCUGUUGAGUUGUCCGAACAGCUGAAUGGCAUCUUAGGGGCCAGCCUGAGCUUCUAGUUUGCUGGAGAGGGUCCAUCGUGCCAUGGACUCUGGGUGUGAGAGCAGAUUCUCUGCAUUGUUGACAAGAGAUUACACAAACACUUUUACUGUUACACAACAGUCCUUUGGCUGCUCUCCUGAAGUGCCAGCAGGGGAGUCGCAACACAACAUCAGUUCCAGAUAGCCCAAGAGACAGAACUUAUUUUCUCCUUUGUAGGAGAACAACAAAAAAACACUGCUUUUCAAUGUUGGUCACCUGGCACUGGUUAAAUUGAUGUUAAUGCAUCUUUAUUGAUAAUUAUUCACUCUUCUCAUAAUACAGCCAAUGUGAUGUUACUAGGACAUUGUGGAAUCUAAACAUGGCAGGAAAACCCAACCACCAGACACUAAAUAGAACUCUGUGAAAAUAUUUAAUGCAAGGUUAAAAGUAAAUGUUUUGGUGGACUAAGCUUAAAACUUGUGACCUUAGUAACAACCAAUAAAGGAGAUGCUAACA